AAAGUACUCCCUCCGUCCCAAAAUUCUUGUCUUGGAUUUGUCUAGAUACGGAUGUAUCAAGUCACAUUUUAGUAUUAGAUACAUCUGUAUCUAGACAAAUCUAAGACAAGAAAUAUGGGUCAUAGGGAGUAGUUG
rfam:Triticum aestivum genome assembly, contig: Triticum_aestivum_CS42_TGACv1_scaffold_225555_3B